rnacentral:lncRNA from 1 species
UUUAAAUUUUAAAUUUUAAUUUUAUAUUUUGAAUUUUUAUUUUUAAUUUUUAAAAUUUUAUUUUUAAAUUUUGAAUUUUGAAUUUUGAAUUUUGAGUUUUGAAUUUUGAAUUUUAAAAUUUUUGAAAUUUAAUUGUUAUAAAUACUGUGGAAUUGUAUGAUAUGUAUCCAAACAGCUUAAAAAUGAAGCUGUGGAAUUUUUUUAUAGUUACAGGAUUCCGUAUUUCAUUUAGACCAAAAUCAUAGAAUAAAAAUUCCAUGAAGUUUUUUAACGAUGCAUCCAAACAGGGCCUUAGAGAAUUUACCUUCCUACAUGACACUCCCAAAUAAUAUACAAGGCCAAAGCGUAAAAACUCUUCUUGGUUGGCUAUUGUUGCAUCCACCCAUGACAUAUUAGUAAGAGUUAAUUUCAUACGGGUCUCUACAAAUAUAAUAAAUUACAAAUAUAUCCUUACAAAGUUCAACUUUUAUAAAUUGUCUCUACAAAGGUCCUAAUAUUUUCAAAUAUAUUCCUCUGGUUUGUUACUGUUAACGUAUUGUUUAUUUUAUAAGUGAAACGACCUUUUUGCCAUCACAAACCAACUGUUAAUUUAAGAGGAAUAAAAAGUUCAAUUUACCUCAUUAACUAAUUAGGGUUAAGUAUUUUAUCGAUGAUUAACUAAUUUUUUUAACGAAUCCUAACGGUAGAAACAUAUUAGGACUUUUAUAGAGACAACAUAUGGAAGUUGAACUUUGUAGAGAUAUAUUUGUAAUUCACUAUCUUUGAAAGGACCUGUAUGAAU